AGUCGAACGCUUCUUUUUCCGCCGGAGCUUGCUCCACCGGAAAAAGAAGAGUGUCGAACGGGUGAGUAACACGUGGGUAACCUGCCCAUCAGAAGGGGAUAACACUUGGAAACAGGUGCUAAUACCGUAUAACAAUCAAAACCGCAUGGUUUUGAUUUGAAAGGCGCUUUCGGGUGUCGCUGAUGGAUGGACCCGCGGUGCAUUAGCUAGUUGGUGAGGUAACGGCUCACCAAGGCCACGAUGCAUAGCCGACCUGAGAGGGUGAUCGGCCACAUUGGGACUGAGACACGGCCCAAACUCCUACGGGAGGCAGCAGUAGGGAAUCUUCGGCAAUGGACGAAAGUCUGACCGAGCAACGCCGCGUGAGUGAAGAAGGUUUUCGGAUCGUAAAACUCUGUUGUUAGAGAAGAACAAGGAUGAGAGUAACUGUUCAUCCCUUGACGGUAUCUAACCAGAAAGCCACGGCUAACUACGUGCCAGCAGCCGCGGUAAUACGUAGGUGGCAAGCGUUGUCCGGAUUUAUUGGGCGUAAAGCGAGCGCAGGCGGUUUCUUAAGUCUGAUGUGAAAGCCCCCGGCUCAACCGGGGAGGGUCAUUGGAAACUGGGAGACUUGAGUGCAGAAGAGGAGAGUGGAAUUCCAUGUGUAGCGGUGAAAUGCGUAGAUAUAUGGAGGAACACC
rnacentral:rRNA from 1 species